rnacentral:lncRNA from 1 species
GUUCGUUGUGGUGUGUCGAGUGUGGUUUGCUUCUGAGAAUUGUUGCUGAGUCGUGUGCUGCUUGCUUGUAUUUGAGAAUGGCUUCAAAAUCCUGUUUCCCGUACUUCCGUGCUGAGCCCAUUAUUGUGCAGUGCAUCGGCCAUAGGACUACAGCUAGUAGUGUAGAUUUUUCAAUCAAAGAUGGUCAAAUUUGCAAAGGUGCUCAAAGAAUUGUUCAUUUAAGUGUUGUUGCGAACAAUGAAAAAACCUACAUGGUACCAUGGAACUCCCCUGAAGCACCAUUUCAGGAAGGGUUGACCUAUGUAAUUAAAAACUACACUACUAGCUGUAAAUAUGGUCAAGAUCGUUUAUUUAUUAGUGCAAAAAGUACAAUUUUUAGAACUGCUCCUCUUGACCUGGCCGAGUCUGUUACCAACGCCGCCCUUCAAAUACUGCAUCCCCCCUCAAUCCAUCUGACAGGGGGGGAACAUGACCUCUAUACAAGAGGGGGGUACCUCACCCUCAAAGGGACCAUUAAAAAUCUACAGGUACCAAGAAUGGCCAUGGUGCAAAGCUCUGAGGUGCCGAUUCUUGACUUUGUACUCCAGUGUGGUCAAAACACAUUUGAUGUCUCUUUAUGGCGGGACACGGCCUUGGAGGAGCUUCAGCUGAACUCAGAAGUGACAGUGACGCACCUUAAAGCGGUCGUGAGGAGAGAUGGAUCGAGGAAAUUAAACUCCUCUGCUUACACAAGGAUUGAGAUUGCUGAUCAGGGACAGACAGCUAAAAACAUCAAAGUCAUUGGACUACAUGAAAGCGAUGAGGAGCUCACACUCCUGCUUGAAGACUUCAGUGAGCUGAAAGCUUCAGCUAAACUUUUUGAACUUUCAGGGGAUGAGCUUAUUUCCCAACUUCCAUUUAUUGCAGAAGUAACUGAGCAAUUGGGGAAAGUCAUUGAAAUCAAGAGGUUGAUAUUUAAUGAAGUGUGAGUUUCCC